UACGUAGGGGGCAAGCGUUGUCCGGAAUCAUUGGGCGUAAAGAGCGUGUAGGCGGCCCGGUAAGUCCGCUGUGAAAGUCCAGGGCUCAACCCUGGGAUGCCGGUGGAUACUGUCGGGCUCGAGUCCGGAAGAGGAGUGUGGAAUUCCUGGUGUAGCGGUGAAAUGCGCAGAUAUCAGGAGGAACACCAGCGGCGAAGGCGGCGCUCUGGGCCGGUACUGACACUGAGGAGCGAAAGCGUGGGUAGCGAACAGG
rnacentral:rRNA from 1 species